CCUACGGGUGGCUGCAGUGGGGAAUAUUGGACAAUGGGGGGAACCCUGAUCCAGCCAUGCCGCGUGUGUGAAGAAGGCCCUCGGGUUGUAAAGCACUUUCAGUGAGGAAGAACGCCUGGUGGUUAAUACCCAUCAGGAAAGACAUCACUCACAGAAGAAGCACCGGCUAACUCCGUGCCAGCAGCCGCGGUAAUACGGAGGGUGCGAGCGUUAAUCGGAAUUACUGGGCGUAAAGCGCGCGUAGGUGGCUUGAUAAGCCGGUUGUGAAAGCCCCGGGGUCAACCUGGGAACGGCAUCCGGAACUGUCAAGCUAGAGUGCAGGAGAGGAAGGUAGAAUUCCCGGUGUAGCGGUGAAAUGCGUAGAGAUCGGGAGGAAUACCAGUGGCGAAGGCGGCCUUCUGGACUGACACUGACACUGAGGUGCGAAAGCGUGGGUAGCAAACAGGAUUAGAUACCCGAGUAGUC
rnacentral:rRNA from 1 species